rnacentral:rRNA from 1 species
UAAGGAAUAUUGGUCAAUGGACGCAAGUCUGAACCAGCCAUGCCGCGUGAAGGAUGAAGGUCCUCUGGAUUGUAAACUUCUUUUAUCUGGGACGAAAACGGGAUUUUUAUCUCAAUUGACGGUACCAGAGGAAUAAGCACCGGCUAACUCCGUGCCAGCAGCCGCAGUAAUACGGAGGGUGCGAGCGUUAUCCGGAUUUACUGGGUUUAAAGGGUGCGUAGGUGGGCUUAUAAGUCAGUGGUGAAAUCUCCGAGCUUAACUUGGAAACUGCCGUUGAUACUAUAGGUCUUGAAUUAUCUGGAGGUAAGCGGAAAAUGUCAUGUAGCGGUGAAAUGCUUAGAUAUGACAUAGAACACCAAUUGCCAAGGCAGCUUACUACAUAUAAAUUGACGCUGAGGCACGAAAGCGUGGGGAUCAAACA